UAGCAAUGGAUUCUCCGUCGCGCCGGCGGCGGCGAAGGACGUAAAAGCGAUAGUCUCAUUAUACUCCAACUAUAUCUGGACCCGACUUCGUAGCUUCUUGCCGGCUACUUCAUCUACCUACAGCUCUAGCCUGCUCGCUGGAAUCUCAAAUCUCUAUGGCGGCGCGCCGGAGGAGGCGGCGCCACUAAGCGCCGACGCAGAAAGACCUGCCUCCCCCUCCCUCUGCCUACCUCAGCCUCGGUCUCCUCUUCCUCCAUGACUGCAUCUGAAAAUUCCAGAAUUUUUAUCGUUUUGGAGAACAUUAUUGAACACACUUUCUUAAACUUGCAUUACAUCCAGAAGAACCUAGAAUUUUGGCAAUCUAAAGCCGAGGAAUCAAAUGCUCGAAAAGCAUACUUCAUGAUAUGUGGGAGAGGUCCAUGUGCAUUUUUUAAUGGCACAGUUCAACUGAUUCGUGAUUAUGUUAGUGAUGGUUCUGGGAAACAGCACACGUAUGGUCUGGCAUCCUCUAUAUAUCUGAGAGAAUAAAUGUGUUGAGCAGUUUAAGAUACUGUUUGGCUACAUUUCUGGCUCAGAUCUACAUGGUGGUGGACACAGCUGGAUAUGAUUUAGUCAAUGACCCUGAGAAGUCAGUGUCAUUAUUAUUGGUGAAGAUCAAUGAUCUGUUUCUGCAAUUGGAGGCUUCUAUUGGAAAUUUCCAUGCUACAUGUCAGAAAGACUCUUCUGUAGAGGGAAGCUAUUCAGGUCCUCUAAUGUUUGAGAAACUUCCAGAAGUAAAUGAGGAUGGUUCUCGGUGGACAGAUAGUGAGGUUCAAGAUGCUAUCAACUUUAUUAACCAAAAUCUACAAAAAUUGGAGUCAUACUUAUCUACAAUACAGCAAAUUGUAAGAAAAGAAAACU